UAUGAGAUGGCUGAAUGUAGGUAUUGGAUUGUAAACCCAACCAUGAAGAUUAAAUAUCUUCUCUUAUAA
rnacentral:tRNA from 1 species